UCGAGAAUAAUCGUCAAUGGGCGAAAGCCUGAACGUGCGACGCCGCGUGGAGGAUGAAGGUCUUCGGAUUGUAAACUCCUUUUGCAAGGGACGAAUGUAAUGACGGUACCUUGCGAAUAAGAGGUUGCUAACUCUGUGCCAGCAGCAGCGGUAAUACAGAGACCUCAAGCGUUAUCCGGAUUUAUUGGGCGUAAAGGGUGCGUAGGCGGAUAUGAUAGUCAGAUGUCAAAUCACGAAGCUCAACUUCGUGGCUGCAUUUGAAACGUCAUAUCUGGAGACAAGCAGAGGUCAGUGGAACUCAUGGUGUAGCAGUGAAAUGCGUUGAUAUCAUGGGGAACACCAAAGGCGAAGGCAUCUGGCUGGGCUUGUCUGACGCUGAGGCACGAAAGCGUGGGUAGCGAAUGGGAUUAGAUACCCCAGUAGUCCACGCCCUAAACGAUGCGCACUAGACAUUGGUAACG
rnacentral:rRNA from 1 species